UACGUAGGGGGCUAGCGUUGUCCGGAAUCAUUGGGCGUAAAGAGCGUGUAGGCGGCCCGGUAAGUCCGCUGUAAAAGUCAAAGGCUCAACCUUUGAAUGUCAGUGGAUACUGCCGGGCUAGAGUCCGGAAGAGGCGAGUGGAACUCCUGGUGUAGCGGUGGAAUGCGCAGAUAUCAGGAAGAACACCAAUGGCGAAGGCAGCUCUCUGGGACGGUACUGACACUGGAGACGCGAAAGCGAUGGGGAGCGAACAGG
rnacentral:rRNA from 1 species